UACGUAGGGCGCAAGCGUUAUCCGGAAUCACUGGGCGUAAAGGGCGCGUAGGCGGCGCGGAAAGUCAACGGUGAAAGCUUGGGGCUCAACCCCGAGUCGGCCGUCGAUACUUCCGUGCUCGAGCACUGUAGAGGCAGGUGGAAUUCCGGGUGUAGCGGUGGAAUGCGUAGAGAUCCGGAAGAACACCGGUGGCGAAGGCGGCCUGCUGGGCAGUAGCUGACGCUGAUGCGCGACAGCGUGGGGAGCAAACAGG
rnacentral:rRNA from 1 species